AGAACCUCCCCCGAUCCUGCGUGUCCCGUGCUCCUCUCCGAGACCCCGGUCGCCCCAGCGUCCGCAGCAGUCCUGGAAAAAUGUUUAUUUGUGUAGCAAAGCAGGGAGCGGGGCGGCGGGGCUACUUCUUCUUUUUCUUGGCCGCCUUGAGCUUCCCCUCGAUUAGCCGCUGCGCCUGCCUCUUGAUCUCGGCGCGCGAAGGGACGUAGCUGUGGUCCAUGUCGGGGAACUGGAAGGUGUCUGCGGGCGGAGGCGGCGGCUCGCACACGGGGCUAGCCCAGCUAGGCGCAGCCGCCCGACCCGCCUCUCGCCCCCGCCCUCCACCGACCCGGGCCAGCCUUUCCCGCAGAACCCCCAGUGGAAGCUCCGGCCCAGGCCUUCACCGCGCUCCUCCCUGCUCCAGCCCUGGUGCCUCUCCUCCGGGCCCGUCUGGCAUGGCAUGCCUCCUCCUUUCGGAGAAAUUAACAAGAGUCGAGGACUCCAGGGUGUCCCUCACCUUUGUGUCGCCCUGCAGGGCAAAGCCCCCUUCAGCCGUGCAGACACUCUGAACGGGAGCCUGUCAGCUUUGAGGGGACGUGGGCUGUGCAGGUUCCUCCCAGCCCGGGGCUACCUCCUCGGUCCUGGACACCAUCUGCACUCUGUCAGCCAGCAUGUCUGUCAUUUUCUUCUCAACGGACUUGAAGCUGCAGAAGGCAAUAGGGACACAGCAGUGAGGGGCACAGGCCCGAGAGCCAUGGUGGGCCACCCAGGAGCCCAGUCCUGAGUUGGGUGCUGUGCCAGAAUCAGGGACUCAGAAGCUCAGAGUGCCUCAGACCCCAGCCCAGCUCAGCCACCCUCCUGCCAUGCUCCGGGAGUGCCAGGGAGCAUUACCCAGACGUGAGAGGCUCAGCCACCCUCCUGCCAUUCUCUGGGAGCGCCAGGGGCAUUACCCAGACGUGAGAGCACCGUACAGCACUCUUGACCUUCUCCACCACAGCAGUCACGCCCGACUGGUAUUCCAUUUCUGCUGUGGAGGUCUCUUUUCUCCUCACUGGCAGAGCAGAGGGGAGGGGCAGUCAGCAUGCAGGGAUGGCUCAGGGGCUCUGUGUAAGGCUGUCAGACACCUCUGUACCUGCCCAGCUGCUGGGGCGGCCACCCAAGACACAGGCAUCCUUCAGAGAUGCCUGCCCCCGCCCCAACCUGCUCCCUCCUCAGCCCAGCCCUGCAGGGACGCCCCAGGCAGCCCCAGAGCAGAGGUGGACCCGGAGUGAGUGGCGCAGCACUGUGAGCACUGUGGGCCCGGUGGUGCUUCUCAGAGGCAGCUUAGGGGUCAGGAUGCUCAUCCUCUGCAGAGUCACUGGGGACUGGGCCCUUGGUGCAGGGCCCUUGGGUGCUGGGGCCAGCAUCUCUGAGGCCACAUUUGGCUACAGGCUCUCAGCCUCUGGAGGGAGAGGCAGGGACCUGUCCUUCCCUUCACCCUGGCGACCACAUGUCACACCUGGCCUCAGGGUGACUUGAUCCGUUGGCCUGAAUCAGUGCCAGCCUCUCCUUGGGACCCUGGCUGGGGGCAGGUGGGGAGCUGAGCGCUUACAUUUCAGGGUCUCCGUGCUCAUCAGGUUCGAGGGGAAGUCCAAGUCCAUCUGGCCCUGAUGGGAGGUGGGGGCGGGGAAGGGAUGAGACAUCCUUGGCAGGGAGUGGGCCCUGAGUGGUGGCCCUGAGCCUGUGUCCACCCAGCUGUCAUGGGGAUGGGCAGCCAGCCAGGCCCUGGCCUGGGGCUUACCCGGCGGUACUUCUCGCUGGUCUCCUUCGUGUGGAUCUUGUCGAUCAGCUUCUUCUGCUGGUUGAGCCGGUUCUCCCUUGCCCGGCGCUCCUCGAUGAAGGACGCCUCCCUUUGCCUCAUGUUCCUCUGGGGACAUGCGGGUGGGCACAGGGUUGGGGAGCUGUCUCAACAAGGCCCCUAAUGGCAGUAAAGCCAGCGGGCGGUUGGCCAUGCUCACCUUACUAGACUUUGGAACUGCAUCCCCGGCCAAUGGCCACACCCUUUUCCUAAACCACUUGUGCCCGUGGCCCCUCAGCUCACGGCCCUCCUUGCCCAUGCCUCAGAGCAUGUGCCAGCCCAGACGCUCUGCUGCCCUCCAGCCGCUGGCCCCCAGCUGCCUCCUGGCCAGGUCCACCUAGAACUCACGGAAGUGCAUUCAGCCUGCCUGAAGACAGAUUCAUCCUCUUCCCCAAAACCUGGCCUCUUCCAGCGUGCCCUUGGGCAGCUAAAACCGUCAUCUGCUAACCCCUGCUCACGCACCCCAGACACUGCUCUCACCCUCGCCACUCUCGUUGCCAGCGCUUAGUGGGGUUGCCUCUUGAGGAGUUCUCAGCUCCGUUGCUCCUGGCCACCCCUUCUCCACCCCGGGUAUACCCAGGUGAUCAGCGCUUCUGCCCUGGCACCUUCCAGUCCCUGCAGCCUGAGUACACCCUUUCUGAAGCACAGACCUGGUCACAUCUUUCCUCCACCUCCUCCCAGGGCUCCAGGUCAGUCCUUGGGCCCCCAGCCCAGCCGCCUCCGUGGACUCCUGGGGCCUGUGCCUCUGCAGCCUCCACUGCCCUGGCCACACGCUGCUCCAUGUAUCACACCCCUCCCAGCCCAGGGCCUUUUCCCAAGUUGUACCUCCUCCUCCCUAGCCCUGGCCACACCUGACCUUUGCGGGUUCAAUCCCUCAGCCCAGCUCAAGCACUGUCUUCCUGGAAAGCCAUCUGCCACCCCACCUGUCUCUGCUGAGCUGGCUCAGGGGCUGUGUGGCAUUUCUUCAUGGACUACUGGAUGAGUGCCACCCACUUCAGGAGGACAGGGUCUGCCUGUCCCGGUCCCUGCUGUAUCCCCAGAGCCUUGCAGGGACCUUGGCACAGACUGGGUGAAUAGGUGACCCCCGCCCUGGCCCGGCCAGUUCUCUCCCUCUCCUCUACUUCAUGGCUCCUGUGCUGGAUGGGACCUGCUCUGUCCAGUGGGUGAGCAGAGCAGGCUGGCCGGGCUGGCCACUGGAUCCUUCUGGGGAUUGUAGGCAGUGUGGGCAUGGGGGUCUCCUGAGAGACCCUGGCCAGAAGACACAAGAGAGCCCGCCCUGGGGGGCCCCAGCCCUGGGCCCUGAGCUCACCUUGACCCCAUCCGAAGAUCCAAGAGGGCUGGCCCUGGGGGGCCCCCAGCCCUGGGCCCUGAGCUCACCUUGACCCCAUCCGAAGAUCCAAGAGGGCUGGCCCUGGGGGGCCCCAGCCCUGGGCCCUGAGCUCACCUUGACCCCAUCCGAAGAUCCAAGAGGGCUGGCCCUGGGGGGCCCCCGGCCCUGGGCCCUGAGCUCACCUUGACCCCAUCCGAAGAUCCAAGAGGGCUGGCCCUGGGGGGCCCCCAGCCCUGGGCCCUGAGCUCACCUUGACCCCAUCCGAAGAUCCAAGAGGGCUGGCCCUGGGGGGCCCCCGGCCCUGGGCCCUGAGCUCACCUUGACCCCAUCCGAAGAUCCAAGAGGGCUGGCCCUGGGGGGCCCCCAGCCCUGGGCCCUGAGCUCACCUUGACCCCAUCCGAAGAUCCAAGAGGGCUGGCCCUGGGGGGCCCCCAGCCCUGGGCCCUGAGCUCACCUUGACCUCAUCCGUGAUCAUCAUGGCAUCUUGGGACAUGAUCUUCAUAUCCGACAGCUCUGAGCAGUAGUUGACCACGAGGUUCUGCAGCUUGUCCAGCUCAAUGGGGUAUCCUGCCAGCACCUGUGUUGAAUGGGGUUCUCUUGUGGCCCCUACAGAGUGGGCUGCAGUUGCCCCGAGCUUUUAUCCCCCGACUAAGAGCCCUGAGAACAGUGAUAGGUUCUCCUCUGUGGCCCCAGCCACCUCCCCCACUCCCCGCUGGGCACAACGGUGAUGAAAGGUGUUUCACAGGGAGUGGACAGUGCUGGCCUGGUGGACUCUUUCACCACCUAGGGUCCAACAACCCAGAGAGACUGAGAGAGUUUGUGAUGAAAUGCUCUGCAGAAAAGGCUGACUGAAACCCGGGGAGGUUUGGGGACAGUUCUGCUUUGAAGUGAAACAGAGGGGCUCAAGACAUGGGCUUGGGGUCAGAGAGUCAGGAUUCAAGGCCAAGGCAGCUUCUGACCAGCUAGUUUAGCUGUGUGACAUUGGGAAAGUUACUUAAUCUCUCUGUGUCCCCAUUUGUAAGAUGAUGGCUCGUUCAGAAGGUUGCCAUCAGGAUGAAUUGAGUGUAAAAGGAAUUAUUUAGCCCAGAACCAGGUACAUACGUGCUCAGGAUAGCUUUGCUAUAGUGGUUUGUUUUUUGUAACUACAAGUAUAGGCCAGGUGCGGUGGCUCACGCCUGUAAUCCCAACACUGGGAGGCCGGAGGCAGGCAGAUCAUGAGGUCAGGAGUUAGAGACCAGCCUGGCCAACAUAGUGAAACCCUGUCUCUACUAAAAAUACAAAAAAAAUCAGCCGGGCGUGGUAGUGGGCGCCUGUAAUUCUAGCUAUUCGGGAGGCUGAGGCAGGAGAAUCGCUUGAACCCGGGAGGCGGAGGUUGCAGUGAGCCGAGAUCUCACCACUGCACACCAGCUGGGGCAACAGUGUGAAACUCCAUCUCAAAAAACAAAACAAACAAAAACAAAACUAGAAGUGUAGAAUCUUCAUUUUUAAAAAUAUGGAUGACUAUGGGAAUUAUUGCUUGUUUUUUCCUUUGUUCUGAGACUGAAUCUCACUCUAUCACCCAGGCUGGAGUGCGAUGGUACGAUCUCGGCUUGCAGCAACCUCUGCCUUCUGGGUUCAGGUGAUUCUCGUGCCUCAGCCUCCCGAGUAGCUGGGAUUACAGGCAUGCACCACCAUGCCAGGCUACUUUUUGUAUUUUUAGUAGAGAUGAAGUUUCACCAUGUUGGCCAGGCUGGUCUAGAACUCCUGACCUCAAGUGAUCCGCCUGCCUUGGCCUCCCAAAGUGCUGGGAUUACAGGCAUGAGCCACCAUGCCCAGGCCGGGAAUAAUUGUUUUUUAAGUGUGUAUGUUCUAAACAGAAGAAGGCGCUACCAGAGGAACAGAAAGCACCCAGGCGAAGGAGGGGCAUGGACAGGGGUGGGGAGAGGGGUGGGCCCAGGAAGCAUAGAGGGGCAGGGCUUCCAGGUGAGCCAAUAGGACCAGGGGCCAAGGCAAGAGGGACAAGCAGAGGACGGUGCUGAGAGCCACCUGGGCUGGGACCACAGCAGGAAAAGAGCUGCGAUGCAGCCUCCGUCCACCACUCCUCCUAAACUGCACUUCCAUGCUGUCACCUUCCCGAAGCAUGGCUCUCCAGAGCUCCCCUUUGCCCAGUCUUAGGGUGAGGGUGUUUCCAGCUGGCUCCCCGCCCCAUCCACAGGUUGCUCCUCUUAGCACCUCCUGUGCUCUCCCUAUCUACAGCCCAUCUGGAGUAGGUUCUGCUUUGUGGCAGCCCGAGGGGCGGUGCUCAGCCUCCCAUGAAGGGGGUCUUCCCUCACAAUCGGACUGCUGGCUGCCUUUGGCCUCGUCUGCAGGGAGCAGGGCGGGUGGGCUGGCUGGGACGGCAGCAAGCCCUGCUUACAGGCCCAGCGGACCCUCAAAGGUGCAAGGACUUUCUGAGGGUGCAGGACCUGUCUGACUCUCAGAGGCCCAGGCAAUGAGAAAAUGACAGGCAAGAUACAAACAAUACCAAAUCAUUUAAUACGUGCAAGAAAGUCCGAAGAAUUCUGAUAUACCCCACGAUAUGCUUUUUUGGAAUAGCCAAAAAUGAAGUUUAAAAAAACGUUUUCCACAUGCCUCGGCGUCCUGCGUAGCCGGUGGUCAGGCAGAGCUCCCUCUCCCUGGCGGGUGCGGGGCGGCUCCGCCCCAGGACGCUCCCGCCCCUCCCAGAUCCCAGCCCCUGACCCCCGCCCUUCCCGGGCCGCUGGGCUCACUGUCUUCAGAUAAUCCAGCAGGUCCAAAUACAGCAGGUGGAUGUUCUGGCUGGUGAUGAUCUUGAUCAUUGUCUUCUCGAUGUUGUUCUCCAGCUGGCGGAUGAUCUGGGGCGGACCGAGGGCGCAGUGAGAGGGCGUGGGGACCGGCCGCCCGGAGGGUGUCGGGGCUGGGUUUUCUCCGGAGAGGGUCGUGCUCUCUUAGCCCCGCCCCUCCCGUGAGCCCUCCCCAGGGGACCCGCAAGUCCCGCCCCCCGGUGGCCCCGCCCCUCCCGUGAGUCUUGCCCCAGUGGACUCCGCCCCGCCCUCCCAGCCCCGCCUCUCCACCUGCAGCAGCCGCAGCUCCUCCUUGCUGGCGUCGGGCUGGCUCCGCAGGCUGUCCAGCUCCAGCUGCAUGCUCUCCAGCUUCUGCCCGCGCCGCCGCACCAGGUGGAUCAGCCUUGGAGAUGGUCCACUGGUCAUACUGCGGAGCGGCGGCGGCUGAGCUAGAGCGGGCCCUUUGCGCACCC
rnacentral:lncRNA from 1 species